rnacentral:rRNA from 1 species
UACAGAGGGUGCGAGCGUUGUUCGGAAUUAUUGGGCGUAAAGGGCGCGUAGGCGGUGCGGUAAGUCACCUGUGAAAUCUCCUGGCUCAACUGGGAGCUUGCAGGCGAAACUGCCGUGCUGGAGUGUGGGAGAGGUGAGUGGAAUUCCCGGUGUAGCGGUGAAAUGCGCAGAUAUCGGGAGGAACACCAAUGGCGAAGGCAGCUCGCUGGGACGGUACUGACGCUGAGACGCGAAAGCGUGGGGAGCAAACAGG